AACGAACGCUGGCGGCAUGCCUAACACAUGCAAGUCGAACGAGACCUUCGGGUCUAGUGGCGCACGGGUGCGUAACGCGUGGGAACCUGCCCUUAGGUUCGGAAUAACUCCCCGAAAGGGGUGCUAAUACCGGAUAAUGUCUUCGGACCAAAGAUUUAUCGCCUUUGGAUGGGCCCGCGUUGGAUUAGCUAGUUGGUAGGGUAAAAGCUUACCAAGGCGACGAUCCAUAGCUGGUCUGAGAGGAUGAUCAGCCACACUGGGACUGAGACACGGCCCAGACUCCUACGGGAAGCAGCAGUGGGGAAUAUUGGACAAUGGGCGAAAGCCUGAUCCAGCAAUGCCGCGUGAGUGAUGAAGGCCUUAGGGUUGUAAAGCUCUUUUACCCGGGAUGAUAAUGACAGUACCGGGAGAAUAAGCUCCGGCUAACUCCGUG
rnacentral:rRNA from 1 species